AACUAUAUUUUAAAAAUAAUCUAAUAUUUUUUGCAACUUAAUUAGUGACUAUUCAAUAGUGAACAGUAUUUUUCGAACAUUUAAAUAAAUAUUAACAAGCUCAGUGAUGUACCAUAUUCUCAUUAGUGAUUAAUUUUGGGAAAGAGUAGUGUGCCGAUUACAUGACUUGGAUAACAUAAGUUUUGAAGAUGAAAUUAUGCACAAUUUGGAUGACACAGAUUCUGAAGAUGAAAUUAUGCAGGAUGUAGAUGAUGGUGGUAGUUCUUCAAUAGGACCUACCAUCAAUUGAUGAUUGAGGAUUAAUUUUUCAAAAUUUUCUGCUCGAUACAAAAAAAUAAUUCAUGUUUUAUUAUUAGACAAAUAACAUAAAUAAUCCAAUCAGAAGUAUGUUUGUCCACAAAUUAAUACAAAGUUCUAAUACUGAUUAAUUAAUUUAAUUUACCAUUUACUGUUUUAUUUAUUAAAUAAUUUACUAAUUUAAUUUUAAAAGUUAUAAAAUUUUGUUUUAUUUAUAUUUCUAAUAAAAAUGUUAUCGAUCUCCUAAUAUUUAUGUUUUA